UGCAGCCUGCCGCUGUGCCUGCCAUCUCUACCACGCUGCCGGCGCGCGCGCGCAGGCGGGCACGCCGGGCGGCGAGCUCCAAGCCUCUAACCCCUCGCUUGCCCACCCCUUCGCCGGUUCGAUCCGGAGGGCCCGGAAAGGAGGGCAGGAGAUGCCGCCAUCCUCCGCAUUAGCGGCCGCCGCCGUCGCUGGCGGGACCGGUACACUCCCCGACUCCCUGGUGCGUUCCAUUCCAUCCCCUCCGGUCCUCCACAGCUUCCGUCUCGGCGCUUUCGCGGCGGCUCUGGCGCGGAGCGGGUUGUGUCAUUGGGUGGGUGAACCUGGCAGCCUCCGAUGAUUGCGCGGCGCUGAUCCUGUAACCGCGGUCGUGACAUUCGUAUCCGGCUGCGAUUACAUCGCCCAUCUCUGUCAGCAUGCGGUUCUCCCUUUGCUGUGCUGAUUGAUGGAUGGCUUUGGCUUAGCUUUGUUGUGGGCUCCGUGGUGGCUUGGCGCGUAACAACUGUUUUGCGUGACUGAGCGGCCCUGCAUUUUUACAACCAGAUCAGCAGUUACAAGCAAGUAACAUGGAAGAGCAUCAUCUGACCCAAAUAUCUUGGUAUUGACACUCAACUUCUCUAGUAGCUAUGUAAGCUCUUUAUGUACUCAAUGCUACUAUUGGAAAAGCAUAUACUGUCCAAUAUUUGGUGGUCAACCUGGAAGGAUUCUUCAGAAAAGGAUUGUGGAAAACUAAUUGAACCAAGGUAGUAUUUCAAUCUAUUUUUAGUGUGGACCCAAUUGUAUAGAUGGUGAAUUACUUAAGUAUACAUACUGUUGGAUUGCUGUUCCAAUCCUUCCUAAUUGAACAAGCAGUUGGGUUUGAGUAAAUGAGUUACCCAUUCCGUGGCUUUUUAUUAUCUGCC